AUUGAACGCUGGCGGCAGGCCUAACACAUGCAAGUCGAGCGGAGCGACGGACGGGUGAGUAAUGCCUAGGAAUCUGCCUGGUCGUGGGGGAUAACGUCCGGACACGGGCGCUAAUACCGCAUCCUAUCAGAUGAGCCUAGGUCGGAUUAGCUAGUUGGUGGGGUAAGGGCCUACCAAGGCGACGAUCCGUAACUGGUCUGAGAGGAGGAUCAGUCACACUGGACCGUGUACACGGUCCAGACUCCUACGGGAGGCAGCAGUGGGGAAUAUUGGACAAUGGGCGAAAGCCUGAGCCAGCCAUGCCGCGUGUGUGAAGAAGGUCGUCGGAUUGUAAAGCACUUUAAGUUGGGAGGCGUUACCAACAGAGUAAGCACCGGCUAACUACGUGCCAGCAGCCGCGGUAAUAC
rnacentral:rRNA from 1 species